UCAUUUUUCCUCAUUUCCGAAAUGAAAGGCGUUUAGUUAGCUGAGAGAGUGGCUAUGGAACCCUAGAUUUUCUACUGCCAGGUUCACCGCCAUUUUCGCUGCCAUUUUCAUUGUCGGCGCCAUUACCACUGUCGUGUUCAUUGCAGUAGAGAGCUUCUGGAUCGAGCCACCUCUUCUAUCAACGUGUUUUUGGAUCAAAUUUGUUCUUUAUACUGUCGCCCUUGCUACCACCACAGUCUUCACCACCGUUGUCGCCACAGUUUCUGCCGUCGAUGCCACCGUAGUUGCCGUGGUACAACGUAUGUUCAGAUCUGUUAAUUCCCGAGCUUCUUCUUCAAUGCCGCAUUCUCUCAUUCCAAUUUCUCCUUUGAACUGCUGUUGGUACUUCUUUUUCUUCUUCUUCCCAAUUAAUUUGUUAAUAUUUCUUCUUUGUUAACAAUAAAUUCUCGCCUCUUCAGUUCUGAUGCAACUUUCGUACUGAUACUCCCUCUUGUUCUGUAUUUUUUUAAUUGUUUUUCAUUUGUGUUGAUAAGGAAUCUUGAAAACGAGGUAGGGAAGACAUGAUAAUUGAUAAAAAAAUAUUAGAAUUAUGUUAUAUUAGAUUAUUUUCUAAUGGAAUAUAUUUUAGGAUUGUGUUGUUUAUUAUAUUUCAGUAUUGCAUUGUUCGAACAAACAGGAAUUGGAAAGAAUGCCAGCCACGUUUAUUUCUUCAAUUUCAAUCACUUCUCGAUUAUUUGAUUCUUUUUCAUGAGGCUUUUUUUUCUACCUGGAAGAUCAUUGUUAUUUUUUUGAAUGUUACUUAAUUUAUCAACAUUUUUCUGAGGAUCAUAGGAUAGCAUGCGCGCUUUUUUGCUUCCAUGGGUCCCAUCCCCAUCCCAGUGUGUUCACAGGGCAAUUUUAACUUUUAAAGUUGCUGCUUGUUUUUAUAAGCUGUAUUAUACACCAUUAUAAGAUAAUUUGUUAGUUAAAUCUUAUUAUAUAAUAAUUAUAUGUUGUCCAUUUUUCUUUAGUUAAUGGAUACAUGUGUGGUUUCCUUUUUGAUUGUUUCCUUCUUACAUGGUUUUAAUUUCAUUAAUUGUUAGUGCUGAUGAUGUUAUUAAUUAAUAGUAUUUAUUUAUUAGAGCAUAUCUCAUAUGAGAAGACAGCCACUAAUAAUAUAGCAGAGGCAGAGUUUUAUACUUCACCAAUUUCUUACUAUUGCUUUUGAACAAAGUUUGUUGAGAAUUGCAGAUUCCAGAAUCGUGACCUUGGAUCUCUCAUAGUGUACUCAGUUGAAGCCACAAUAAACGCGGAUUUUGUGGUACUCUCAAGCACCUUAAUUGGUUAAUAAUAAUUAAUAAUGCCUAAUACAAUAAGCUAAGCUAAUUGAGCUACUAGCAUACAUAAGAAGCAGAAAGCAUACAUUAUAGUUUUGAAGUUUGCGUGCGCUAUAAAAUUACUUGGUUUACCAUGCAGAAAGCAAUUACAUGACUUUUAACCUAAAAAAGUUAAAGGAAACCUGAAACUUCUGAUGCCACCACCAUAAUCAUUGGUCGUCUAGUCAUGCCAAGGAAAAAACGCAUAAAAAUCCAUUGAAGUUUGUAGAUGAGAGGGAAAACAACAAUGCUUCUCAUUCACUUCAACCUCCAGCACCAGCAGCAUCUGAAGAUACCACUGUAGAGGCUGGUGAGGCUCCUUCUCAAGCUCCUUCUCAAGUCGCUGCGAAUUCCAUUUCAUCUGAUGGAGCCACACAUUGUUCUAACUCAAAGUCUUCAUCUGCUUGAAAUGUGGAGAUAAUUGACUCUACAAAUAUGAAGAAGAAGGCUAAGAUCAAAGUCAAGGAUGUUUGCAACUUACCUAGGGGAGACCGUGUAAUUGUAGAGGUUGACGAAGAGGGUGCGGCAUAUGGUGAAGCACAAGGUUUACUUGCUGGCCAUUGUGGUAUAUUAGCAACUAAUGUACGUAUCUUUCCAAUUAGCUUUGAAAAGUGGUCAGGACAAGAAAAUGGUGGCAUGCCUAAGUCUUUCAAGGAUGAGUGCUUUGAUUCAAUG